GCCUCGCUAGCACAAUCGGUAGAGCGUGAGACUCUUAAUCUCAAGGUUGCGGGUUCGACCCCCGCGUGGGGCU